GGAGGGAUGGCCGAGUGGACGAAGGCGGCGGUCUUGAAAACCGCUGUGGGUAACUCCCACCGUGGGUUCGAAUCCCACUCCCUCCGCCU
rnacentral:tRNA from 1 species